AUAUAUAUACGGUUUAUUUUCAAUUUUUUAUUUCUAUAUAUAUGGUUUAUUUUCAAUUUUUGCAGAUGCGGACGCGAUAUUUGCUGAUGUGUCCCUGCUGCGGUCUUCGACGUCUCCUGCUCCACAGGAGAUUGCAGAGUUUAAGCGUGAAGAAAUUCCUGACUGUACUCUAUUUUGAUAGUCUGCAUGGUAGAUAGGAGUUUGGAGGCAGAGGCAGGGAAAAGGACCUCACCAUAAGUGCCUUUCGACACCAAGAUUUUCAAGAGCCAAAAUAAACUUGAGUAGCUUUCUGUGAAAAUGACCCAAACAUUGAGUAGCUUUCUGUGAGUAUUUGUACUCUAAAUCGAACUGCUUGUACAUGAGACAUGAAUUAGACCACAUCAACCUACGUGUACUCUAAAUCGUUCAUUUGCGACAUUUAAUAGGCUAUAUUUGAUUUGAACAACAUAAGAAACUAAACUCGAAUCUAAACCGAACAAUUUGCGACCUUUAAUAGGCUACAUUUGAUUCAAACAACACAAAAAAGUAAUCUCUUUUUUAAAAUGCCAAAUUUUGGGAUUAUUUCAGAUCAAUAAUGCACAAGAAUUAUGAUGAUCUGAAAUAAUUUCAAAAUUUGGCAUUUUAAAAAAGAGAUUAUUUUUUUGUGUUGUUUGAAUCAAAUGUAGCCUAUUAAAGGUCGCAAAUUGUUCGGUUUAGAUUCGAGUUUAGUUUCUUAUGUUGUUCAAAUCAAAUAUAGCCUAUUAAAUGUCGCAAAUGAACGAUUUAGAGUACAAGUAGGUUGAUGUGGUCUAAUUCAUGUCUCAUGUACAAGCAGUUCGAUUUAGAGUACAAAUACUCACAGAAAGCUACUCAAUGUUUGGGUCAUUUUCACAGAAAGCUACUCAAGUUUAUUUUGGCUCUUGAAAAUCUUGGCGUCGGAAGGCACUUAUGGUGAGGUCCUUUUCCCUGCCUCUGCCUCCAAACUCCUACACAAAGAUAGAAAAGGUUAAUAAAUGGACGGCAAAAUUCAAAUAAAUCAUAUACAUUAUGUCACAAGUUCCAUCUUGAUUUUUCAACACCUCACCUAUCUACCAUGCAGACUAUCAAAAUAGAGUCUAGUCAGGAAUUUCUUCACGCGUAAACUCUGCAAUCUCCUGUGGACCAGGAGACGUCAAAGACCGCAGCGGGGACACAUCAGCAAAUAUCGCGUCCGCAUUUGCAAAAAUUGAAAAUAAACCGUAUAUAUAGAAAUAAAAAAUUGAAAAUAAACCGUAUAUAUAUAUAUAUAUAUAUAAGUAUAUCUACGUACCAUCAGUGCCGGUCUCCUCCGCACCAUCAUCUCCUGAGCCGGUGCCGGUGACCCCCGAGCAUAUAUAUACGUACCAUCAGUGCCGGUCUCCUCCGCACCAUCAUCUCCUGAGCCGGUGCUGGUGACCCCUGAGCCGGUGCCGGUCUCCUCCGCAUCAUCAUCUCCUGAGCCGGUGCAGGUCUCCUCCGCACCAUCAUCUCCUGAGCCGGUGCCGGUGACCCCUGAGCCGGUGCCGGCUGGGAAUGUUGUUUCGCCGGUGCCGGUCUCCUCCGUUGUUGUUUCCAGCUCUGGAAAAGAGAAAAAAAAUCCUGUGAAAUAUGCUUCUGAGUAAAAGCACACUAGGGAGCUUGUUAUAGAAAAUAGUUCUAUAACAAUCCUGUGAAAUAUACUUCUGAGUAAAAGCACACUAGGGAGCUCCAAACCCCCCCUAACUUACAUUAGGCUACGAGAGAUUAUUGACAAAGGUAAACAAGUUGAUGGAUACAGUAAUUUACAAAUUUAUAGGGAUACAUACAACAAUCAAUGUGGGUUCUGUCACUGUGGGUGGGUGGUUCCUCUCAGGUGAUUUUGCGAGGUAAUUUGCUGGCUUGCCCUCGCUGACGAAUA